GGAGGGGGGAAAGAGAAAUUAGGAGGGGGGGUGAGAAAGAGAAAUUGGGAGGAGGAGAAGGAAAUUGGAGCGGGAGGAGAGAUUGACAUUCAUCACAUACACACAAUGCACCCCUUGCACACAGAAAAACACACAAUGCAUUACACACACACAUACACAAGCAAUGCAACCGUUACACACAAUGCAUCCCUUACACACACAGAAACACACAAUGCAUUCAUUACACACACUCAAUGCACCCUUUACACACAUUCUAUGCAUCCCAUACAUACACAGAAACACACCUUGCAGCCCUUACACAUACAAACAC